UGGGGAAUAUUGCACAAUGGGCGCAAGCCUGAUGCAGCCAUGCCGCGUGUAUGAAGAAGGCCUUCGGGUUGUAAAGUACUUUCAGCGGGGAGGAAGGCGAUAAGGUUAAUAACCUUGUCGAUUGACGUUACCCGCAGAAGAAGCACCGGCUAACUCAGUGCCAGCAGCCGCGGAAAUAAGGAGGGGGCAAGCGGUAAUCGGAAUUACUGGGCGUAAAGCGCACGCAGGCGGUCUGUCAAGUCGGAUGUGAAAUCCCCGGGCUCAACCUGGGAACUGCAUUCGAAACUGGCAGGCUAGAGUCUUGUAGAGGGGGGUAGAAUUCCAGGUGUAGCGGUGAAAUGCGUAGAGAUCUGGAGGAAUACCGGUGGCGAAGGCGGCCCCCUGGACAAAGACUGACGCUCAGGUGCGAAAGCGUGGGGAGCAAACA
rnacentral:rRNA from 1 species